UCCUGGUGCCUCAGACGGUAAAGAAUCUGCCUGCAAUGCAGGAGACCCAGGUUCGAUUCCUGGGUUAGGAA
rnacentral:tRNA from 1 species